rnacentral:rRNA from 1 species
CGUAGGGUGCGAGCGUUAAUCGGAAUUACUGGGCGUAAAGCGUGCGCAGGCGGUUUUGUAAGACAGGCGUGAAAUCCCCCGGGCUCAACCUGGGGACUGCGCUUGUGACUGCAAGGCUAGAGUACGGCAGAGGGGGGUGGAAUUCCACGUGUAGCAGUGAAAUGCGUAGAGAUGUGGAGGAACACCAAUGGCGAAGGCAGCCCCCUGGGUCGAUACUGACGCUCAUGCACGAAAGCGUGGGUAGCAAACAGGAUUAGAUACCCUGGUAGUCCACGCCCUAAACGAUGUCAACUAGGUGUUGGUGGGUAAAACCAUUUAGUACCGGAGCUAACGCGUGAAGUUGACCGCCUGGGGAGUACGGCCGCAAGGUUA